rnacentral:rRNA from 1 species
UACGUAGGGUGCAAGCGUUGUCCGGAAUUAUUGGGCGUAAAGAGCUCGUAGGCGGUUUGUUGCGUCGGCUGUGAAAUCCCGAGGCUCAACCUCGGGUCUGCAGUCGAUACGAGCAAACUAGAGUGUUGCAGGGGAGACUGGGAAUUCCUGGUGUAGCGGUGAAAUGCGCAGAUAUCAGGAGGAACACCGAUGGCGAAGGCAGGUCUCUGGGCCAUAACUGACGCUGAGAAAGCGAAAAGCCAUGGGGGAGCGAACAGG